rnacentral:hammerhead_ribozyme from 1 species
AUCCAGCUGACAAGUCCCAAAUAGGAUGAAACACGCGUUAAACUGCAU